rnacentral:rRNA from 1 species
GACGAACGCUGGCGGCGUGCUUAACACAUGCAAGUCGAACGGAAAGGCCUUUUCGGAGGUACUCGAGUGGCGAACGGGUGAGUAACACGUGGGUGAUCUGCCCUGCACUCUGGGAUAAGCUCGGGAAACUGGGUCUAAUACCGGAUAGGACCGCACUCUAGUGUGUGUGGUGGAAAGAUUUUUCGGUGUAGGAUGUGCCCGCGGCCUAUCAGCUUGUUGGUGGGGUAUUGGCCUACCAAGGCGGCGACGGGUAGCCGGACUGAGAGGUUGGUCGGCCACAUUGGGACUGAGAUACGGCCCAGACUCCUACGGGAGGCAGCAGUGGGGAAUAUUGCACAAUGGGCGCAAGCCUGAUGCAGCGACGCCGCGUGGGGGAUGACGGCCUUCGGGUUGUAAACUCCUUUCGCCAGGGACGAAGCGUUUUGUGACGGUACCUGGAGAAGAAGCACCGGCUAACUACGUG